AGGUUGACUCAGCCUUCCAUCUUUCCAAGGUCAGUAAAAUGAAGACCCAGAUUGUUGGGGGCAAUAUUCUGAUUUUGUAACUGCUUGCAGAGUGCUGUAAAUCACUAUGAAGUGGUACUAUGAAGUCUAAGUGCUAUUGUUAUCUUACUUCCUUCCU